rnacentral:rRNA from 1 species
CCUACGGGUGGCUGCAGUGGGGAAUAUUGGACAAUGGGGGGAACCCUGAUCCAGCCAUGCCGCGUGUGUGAAGAAGGCCCUCGGGUUGUAAAGCACUUUCAGUGAGGAAGAACGCCUGGUGGUUAAUACCCAUCAGGAAAGACAUCACUCACAGAAGAAGCACCGGCUAACUCCGUGCCAGCAGCCGCGGAAAUACGGAGGGUGCGAGCGUUAAUCGGAAUUACUGGGCGUAAAGCGCGCGUAGGUGGCUUGAUAAGCCGGUUGUGAAAGCCCCGGGCUCAACCUGGGAACGGCAUCCGGAACUGUCAAGCUAGAGUGCAGGAGAGGAAGGUAGAAUUCCCGGUGUAGCGGUGAAAUGCGUAGAGAUCGGGAGGAAUACCAGUGGCGAAGGCGGCCUUCUGGACUGACACUGACACUGAGGUGCGAAAGCGUGGGUAGCAAACAGGAUUAGAUACCCGAGUAGUC